UGCAACGCGAAAACCUUACCUACCCUUGACAUGUCCGGAAUCCCGAAGAGAUUUUGGGAGUUGCUCGCAAGAGAACCGGAACACAGGUGCUGCAUGGCUGUCGUCAGCUCGUGUCGUGAGAUGUUGGGUUAAGUCCCGCAACGAGCGCAACCCUUGUCAUUAGUUGCCAUCAUUUGGUUGGGCACUCUAAUGAGACUGCCGGUGACAAACCGGAGGAAGGUGGGGAUGACGUCAAGUCCUCAUUGGCCCUUAUGGGUAGGGCUUCACACGUCAUACAAUGGUCGGUACAGAGGGUUGCCAACCCGCGAGGGGGAGCUAAUCCCACAAAGCCGAUCGUAGUCCGGAUCGCAGUCUGCAACUCGACUGCGUGAAGUCGGAAUCGCUAGUAAUCGUGGAUCAGCAUGUCACGGUGAAUACGUUCCCGGGUCUU
rnacentral:rRNA from 1 species